GGAAUUUCAAUACCUGGCCCACUUUAACCGCAUUGGAUGCUGGGAAUUGUAGUCCAGCUGUGGUCCCAGAAGGAAAAGGAAGCAUCUGUCACAGACCUCUUCCUGAGUUUUCAUCUACAUGUCAACCAGGAUAUUGUCAUUGUUGUUUAGUUGCUAAGUUGUUUCUGACUCGAUUUGCGACUGCAUGAGCUGUAGCCCACCAGCCUUCUCUGCCCAUGGGAUAUCUCAGGCAAGAAUACUGGAGUGGAUUACCAUUCCCUUCUCCAGGGGACCUUCACAACCCAGGUGUCAAGUCCUCAUCUCCAGCAUUGGCAGUCAUGUAUGGAUGUGAGAAUUGGACUAUAAAGAAAGCUGAGCACUGAAGAAUUGAUGCUUUUGAACUGUGGUGUUGGAGAAGACUCUUGAGAGUCCCUUGGACUACAAGGAGAUCCAACCAGUCCAUUCUGAAGGAGACCAGUUCUGGGUGUUCAUUGGAAGGAAUGAUGUUGAAGCUGAAACUCCAAUACUUUGGCCACCUAAUGUGAAGAACUGACUCAUCUGAAAAGACCUGGAUACUGGGAAAGAUUGAGGGCAGGAGGAGAAGAGGUUGACAGAGGAUGAGAUGGUUGGAUGGCAUCACUGCCGCAAUGGACAUGAGUUUGGGUAAACCCCAGGGGUGGGUGAUGGACGGGGAGGCCUGGCAUGCUGCAGUUCAUGGGGUUGCAAAGAGUUGGACAUGACUGAGCAACUGAACUGAACUUAACUGAAUUUUAUUUUUAGUAGUAAUUAUGAUAUAUAUGUAUGUGGAUUUUGGGAGAUAUUUAUUCUGUUUGGGUUUUGUUGAGGUUGAAUCUGUACAUUUAUGUCUUUUUUAAAACCAACUUUGGGGAAAAUUUGACCAUUAUUUACUUGAAUAUUUUUUUUAAUGUAGUCUCUCUUCUAUCAUCCAGGAACUCCAGUUACACCCAUGUUUGAAAAUAUCCCUCACGUCCUUCAGACUCUUUAUUUCUUCUAAUCAUUUUCUCUGCUCUGAAUUGGAUUAUUUAUAUUGAUCUAUCUUUAAGUCCACUGAUUUUUCUGUUUUUUAAGUUCUGCUCUUAAGCUCAUCCAG
ensembl:lncRNA